rnacentral:rRNA from 1 species
UACGUAGGGUGCAAGCGUUGUCCGGAAUUAUUGGGCGUAAAGAGCUCGUAGGCGGUCUGUCGCGUCUGCUGUGAAAAUCCAGGGCUCAACCCUGGACCUGCAGUGGGUACGGGCAGACUAGAGUGCGGUAGGGGAGAUCGGAAUUCCUGGUGUAGCGGUGAAAUGCGCAGAUAUCGGAGGAAGACACCGGUGGCGAAGGCGG